GACAGAGGGUGCAACCGUUGUUCGGAAUUACUGGGCGUAAAGCGCGUGUAGGCUGCUCUGCAAGUCGGAUGUGAAAGCCCUGGGCUCAACCUAGGAAGUGCACUCGAAACUGCAGAGCUUGAGUCCUGGAGAGGAAGGCGGAAUUCUCGGUGUAGAGGUGAAAUUCGUAGAUAUCGAGAGGAACACCGGUGGCGAAGGCGGCCUUCUGGACAGUGACUGACGCUGAGACGCGAAAGCGUGGGGAGCAAACAGG
rnacentral:rRNA from 1 species